rnacentral:lncRNA from 1 species
CACGUCUGUUUCCUUCUGGAAAAGGAGGGCCGGACAAUGUGCCCGGGGACAUUCUUCCUCGCCUCCCUGGCUCAUUUCUUCAUGGCACGGACGCAGCCCCCUGAGCGCCCAGACAUGACCUGGCACCGUAUGGGACCCCGAGAUGGAAGAAGGCACAGGGAGCAGGUGACAGAGACAGACGAAGGUCAUGGAGAACAGCAGACUGGGAAGAGAAGAUAAAGGGGAGACCUGGAGAAGCAGUCCUGGGGCAAGCUCUGGGCAAGCUUUCUCCAAGAAGAGGGCAGCGUUCCCUUCCACCCAGACGUCAGACCUGUGGAAGGGGCCUGGGCUUCCGGGAUUCACCUGCACCCAGAGAUGCCAUCAAGAAGUUCUUUAAUGAAGAGCUAAAGGAUGGAGUCCACGCUUGCUCAAUGAAGACGGGUUGGGCCGGCUCUAGCUUGCCAGCCAUCCCUCAGCGGUCGACCAGACAAGAGAACCCUCCCUCGAAACACAAUUAAGAUGGCACUUUCAGACAUUUUAGCCAAUGAAAAGUUGCUUACAGAAUUAUAAAGCCUCUCUCCGAGUGAGUUUUCUUAACCUCCUAAACUCAAUUGUCCCAUUAUGGGUUUACAAGCCCUUGGGGACUGCUGUAUUAAGUAAAUUCAGAGAAACAGUCACAUUCAGUGGGAAGUAAAAUACCCAAGGCUGGUAGUAGGAAAAGGAGCUACCUAUUAGGACUUUCAUAAAAACCAGCCCCUAACGUAGAAAGAACAGUUCCCCCGAGACUCGCCCUGUGGAUUGCCUUUUAUGGGUUGGUUCAUAUUUAUAAGCCAAUUUGUCCAGGAAUAAAUCUCUUUAACACACUCAGCUAACUUCUAGAGGUGUGUCCCGUGGGAAGCAAUCUUUCUAAAUGAACUGUCUUAAGAAGGGCUUUAACAACAGCGUUGCCGAUCCUGCAAUCCCCACCUUCAGAGAAAAAGGCUUCUAUCAUCCAUAGAUUGCUUGGGCACGUAGAACACAUGGAAUUUAAGAAACUGUCAAAUUGAAUCCAGACACCUAAAAAAAAAUCUUCAUACACCUAAAGAGAUGACUAUGGAAAGAAAGUGAUUUUUGUUAUAUACCUAAAGAGAUGACUAUGGAAAGAAAGUGAUUUUUGUUAUACAACUCCGAAGUUCAGCAAUAGUCCACUUGACCCAAGAUUAACUCAGACAGUAGUUGGCUUUGCAUCUGCCAUAAUUUCUU